AUUGAACGCUGGCGGCAGGCCUAACACAUGCAAGUCGAGCGAGCGGCGGACGGGUGAGUAAUGUAUGGGGACUGCCCGAUAUAGGGGGAUAACUACUGGAAACGGUAGCUAAUACCGCAUACUAUCGGAUAACCCAUAUGGGAUUAGCUAGUAGGUGAGGUAAUGGCUCACCUAGGCGACGAUACCUCGCUGGUCUGAGAGGAUGAUCAGCCACACUGGAACGGAGACACGGCCCCGACUCCGACGGAGGCAGCAGUGGGGAAUAUUGCACAAUGGGGGCAAGCCUGAGACAGCCAUGCCGCGUGUAUGAAGAAGGCCCUAGGGUUGUAAAGUACUUUCAGCCGGGAGGCGUUACCGGCAGAAGAAGCACCGGCUAACUCCGUGCCAGCAGCCGCGGUAAUUC
rnacentral:rRNA from 1 species